AUGUACGACUCGUAAAAUUCGGUUCUGCUCGCCGCCCGCAACCAUCUGACGAUGGUUGGCUACGUUUCAUUAGCC
rnacentral:sRNA from 1 species